ACAAAGAAUUCAAUUCUCUCAUUCACGUGAAUAUUCAAAGAAGUAUUCAUAAAGCUCUUCAACAAGAACAAAGCAAGCUUCAAAUAUCUUUCUUCUCUUAUAGCUAAGAUAUCUCUGAAAGUUUGUAACAACAACAAAGCAAGUUUCAAAUAUCUUUCUUCACUUGUAGCUAAGAUAUCACUGAAAGUUUGUAUUGAUAAUAUCUCCAAGUUGGAAUAUUAUUUAAAAUAUCUCUUUGAGAUAUUAUUUUGAAAUCUCUACGUGAGAUACUUGAGAAAUCUCCAAGUGAGAUACCAUAUUCAAACAACACCCACCACCAUACAAAGUGUAACUAGAUCUCAAGUCUAUUGAGCAUAAUAGUUUGAGACAUAACUUUUCUUGUGUGAUCAAGAAUCGUAGAAGCCUGCUGAGGUUGAUAAUACAGAGUGUAACAGACUGAUCUGGUGUGAUCAACAAAUUAUAGUGUUAUUCAGAAGUUUAUGAUAGCAUGAUACUAUAGUGGAUAAUCUCACACGUAGUGUGGGGACUGGACGUAGCCGGUUAGGCGAACCAGGAUAAAUUCUCUUGUGUUCUCUCUCUUCUCUCAUCUCUUAAUUUUUGGCCGUCACAUAUAACCUAUAACUAACUAUAUUAAUUUUCCAGAGUGCUCUGGUCCUUAAACUAAAAUUAAAUAACCUACUACUUAAUAAUUAUCCAAAACUUUCUGGUCCUAUUUAUUUUAUUCUUAAUAUCUACAGAGUUCUCUGGUCCUUUAUCGCUUUAUUUAUUUCAGUUAUAUAUAUCUAGAGUUUUCUGGUCAUUUGCUGCUUUAUUUAUUUCAGUUAUAUAUCCAGAGUUUUUUUGGUCCUCUACUGCUUUAUUUAUUUCAGUAUUUCAUU
rnacentral:lncRNA from 1 species